UUGUUAAAAUGGGUUAUUUUCACUUUGGUUAAUAACCUAAGUGAAUGCACGCUUCCAGAGUCCCACUCUGAUGUUCCUUUCUUAAAGGCAAUAAUACUCUAUCAGUUGCUUUGGUUCUGAUCCUGGGAUAUAGUAAUAUCUUAAAGUGACAACCCAUGUGGUUUUUCACCUUUGGAUAUCAUCUCACAAGUCCAUACAUGUGUCCCUUUUGUGAUUUUAUGACACAUAUCAUUAUAAGGGUUAUGAAAGUGAUUUUCUAUCAUAUAAGAAAAUGCUUUCUUAAAUCUUCAACAUUUGAGAUUUAAUUUCCCUAUUUAAACAUUCUUGAGAUAGCCUUGCUAUAUCAAUAAGUCCAAUUUCAAGUCUAUACUUCAAAAUUGACCGUGUCACAAUUUUGUCAUUUUUAGUAACAUCUAUGUUUUAUCAAGUCUAUCAAAUAGACUUUAUUCAUAUCUUGUUGCCCAAAUUAUGACAUCACUCCCACUGGCCUUGUUGUAACUUAGCAUUCAUUCAAAAAACUUAACGAUUAUAUUUUUCUUGAUUUGAAUGCAUAUUGCUCCCACUAACUUGUCUUGGAUCUAUUGACAAUCAUUAAGAUCCAUUAACUUAUUGAUGAUGUCUCAACUAUUUUGAGACUAUCAACAACUCUA
rnacentral:lncRNA from 1 species